rnacentral:lncRNA from 1 species
UCCCUCUCUGUCGUUCUGGAGGAAGGGCCGACGCGCCCUCCGCCGUCCACCACGCGCCACCGCGGCCAUCGACCUCCCCUCGACACUCCGCCCUGACCAGGAGCUCCGGGACGCUCCUCCGCUUCUUCUUCGCCAACUAGCACAAGCCGGGACGCCACAUCGACGCCGCCCUCGCCAAUCCCCUCCGCUGGCGUCCGCCUCUGCCUCACCGUCGAUCCGCCGCCAUCCGCCGCUCGGUUUGCCCAUCGUCGACAAGCUCCGGCCAACCCGACCCCUCCACGAUCUUUGGUGUGAGCUCCCGCAUCCGUUCCCCCUAUUUUUUUACCCUCAAAUUCGGCGCUGUUUGGCCGUCCCUUGCAUUCCCCGCCAUGGAAGGGAGCUCGGCUCCACGCGCCCGUGUGCCCCCUGACCACCCCUGCUCCUGCGUGACCCGUGCUUCGGCUCCACUCAGCGCGCACGCGUGCCUAGCCGUGAUGCCCCCGCUUGCUAUUGCUCUCUUGCGUUGGCUGCCGCUGAUGCUCUUCCGCUGCUACUGCUUUGAACUGCCGCUAUGCUGUUGCUACUGCUGCUUAUUGCUGCUGUAUCUGCUAGUUGCCGCCGCUGCUGCUCCGUGCUUAUGCUGCUGCUUGGUUGCUUCUGCUACUGCAGCCUGCUACCUCCGGCUGCGGCUGCUACUGGCCAUGGCCGUGGUGUGUGUGAGUGUGCUGUGUGUGUAUGCAGCGUGGUGUGUGUGAAUGUGCUGUGUGAGUGCAUGUGUGUGUGAGUGGGUGUGGUGCCGGCCCAAACUAGUUUAGGUCUAGAUUAGUUCUAGGAUUAAUUCUGCUAUUUAGAUAGUAUCAGUUUAGUGCUGAUUAGCCUAAUAGCUUAUGACCCGUGGCCCUCUGUUUUAAAUUAGUUUAGUUAAUUCUCUUUUUGCACAUGGGCAAAUGACAAAUGAGCCCCACUUUGACCCUGUUGACUUGUCAACCCUGAUUGGUCAACUAUUGACUUUGACCCUGGCCCCACUGUCAUACACAUGGCUAGCCCCCUAGUAGGUGUAAAAAGGAUUCUGCCUAUUUAGUAAUUAAACGAAUUAGAUAAAUAAAAGGAAUGUAGAAAAUGCUUAAAACUUUGGAAAAUCAUAGAAAUUAAACCGUAGCUCGAAUCGAAAAACUUUCCACAUCAAAGUUGCUUAGAACAACGAGACAAAUCCGAAUACACAGUCCGUCCGUCUGCCGCACGCCCUUAGCAUAGGAAACCUGCAACCGUCCCCAUCGGUUCGUUUGUCCGAAAAUGCCAAACUUUGGGGAAACAUUCCCGGAUGCUCUCCCCUUUGCCGGUAUCGUGUAGCACCGCGUUAGAACACGCCUAACACCGCGUAUCGUCAUGUCAUGCUUAGUGCUGCAACUGUAUGCUUGUAUUUACUGUUUCUUCCCCCUCUUCUCUCCGGUAGACCCCGAGAUUGCCGCUGAUGCCGCUGUGAUCGACUACGUCGACGACGACCCCUUCUUCUUGUCUGAGCAACCAGGCAAGCCCCCCCUUUGAUCAUCCCUAUAUCACCCAUUCCACUCUCUCAUGCUUGUAUUAGAUUUUGUACUGUUAUUUGAUUGCUCCUAUUCUGAUGCAUAGCCUGCUUUUGUAGUUGUUGUUGUACCUUACCUGCUUAUCCUAAACUGCUUAGUAUAGGUUGGUUCAUGAUUCAUCAGUGACCCCCACUUGUCCUUGUUGCCCCUACUUCAUCAUCGACGACUCGAUCUACGUGAUCGAAGAACAGAGCCCGACACCUCACAUCACAUCACGCCCCUUUUGUUGCUCGACUCUAUAGAGCUACUAUCGAGUGCCGAGGGUGAUCCCUCAUAACGCACUCCUGAUGUUAAUUCUGUAGUGUAGCUAUUCAGUCGUGGUCAUCGAGGGUCAUUUCCUCUUUCACCAUUCCCUAUACGGCUCUGUCGUUCAACACCUCAAGUGUGAACCUCGAGGGUGGUCCCUCUUACGUUCACCUUGAUGAUUACAUUGAGUGGAAUCAUCUGGGGGUGAUUCCUCGGGUUUUCCCCUUAAUGUUUGGACACACGGUUACCUUUACAUUACUUGACACCUUUGGGAAAGUCGGGCGGGCCCGGAGAGCACCCGCAAGAUGGUUACAACGCACGGCCGGGAAGUCAGGCAGCCCUCAAGUGGGCUGGGCUUGCCCUUGUCGUAUUUCCUCGAGACGGGGCGACGGGGUCACAUUAUCGUGAGUCUCUGCUCGUCUCCGCGAGCCCCCAAUGCACUAACAGGUUCGGGUAUUUGUUCCUAGUUGGCCUUUACGCACUAACCACCACGCGAGAAUAGAUAUGGGCCUCGACGUCGUGGUAUCAGCCGAAGCUUUGUCAGAUGUCCAGUUCAGCAUUGUGGCACGGUCGGAUCAUGCCAUCCACUACACGGGUGGUGCUGGUAUCCACCCUGCACACAACGACCCGGAGUGCAACGGGCGAUGGGCCCAAACCCCGGAGUGCUUAGGAUGUAGAAGGCGGGGACCUCUCUGCUGAACCUAGGUAGGGCUACGACGUGUUGAUCUUCCAAGGCCGGGCAUUGACCCCAGAAAGGUGUGUCCGGCCAGAGUGAUCGAGCGUGUUGGGUAACGUGGUGCACCCCUGCAGGGAAGAUAUAUAUAUUCGAAUACCGUGUCCACGGUAAUGGACGUUCAGACUUGUAUCCUGAUCUUAUACAACUAGAAAUGGAUACUUGAUAUGUGAUGGAUAUGUGGCCCUGAGAUUGCUUUCUCGUAGGGAGGCGAGGAAGGACCUCUGGGCGUUGAUACUACAACAUGUUUGUUAAUAUAAACUGCUAUUCUUUACUCUUCUACAUGUUGCAAGAUGCUUGGAGCUGCUUGAAGAUGCAAGUCUUCGAUAGGCUAGGCCUUCCCCUCUAUUCUGGCAUUCUGCAGUUCAAUCCACAGAUAUAGCCCUUCCAUUUGAUACCAAUGCAUACUUAGCAUAGAUCUGAUGCUUGCGAGUACUUUGGAUGAGUACUCACGGUUGCUUUGCUACCCCUUUUCCCCCUUCCUUCUUUCCGGUUGAUGCAACCAGAUGGUGUACCCCUGGAGCCAGAAGCCACCGUUGACGGAUACUACUACGUGGAGACCGCCGACGACCAAGAGUAGUUAGGAGGUCUCAGGCAGGAGGCCUUGCCUCUUCGAUCGUUGAUGUUUGUGCUAGCCUUUUAAGGCAUCCUUGUCUAACUUAUGUCUGUACUCAGAUAUUGUUGCUUCCGCUGACUCUUGUGUAUCGAGCUUGUAUUCGAGCCCUCGAGGCCCUGGCUUGUAAUAUGAAGCUUGUAUUACUUUGAUUUGUGUCUAGAGUUGUAUUGUGAUAUCUUUCCCUGAGUCCCUGAUCUUGAUCGUACACAUUUGCGUGUAUGAUUAGUGUACGGUCGAAUCGGGAGCGUCAGAAGUUGGUAUUAGAGCCGACUGCCUGUAGGAUCCCCUUUCCAACUCCUUGACCAAAGUUGAGUCUAGUCAAAGAAAAACUGUUUUACUAACAUGGCUGUGUGGCUUAUCGGCCCACGUCGCCAUUGGGUGGUAUUAGGAUCUUUUAUUCCUCGUCUAUACUCUGGGACUCUGACCUCUCUUCUAUUCGGGUUAAAUGAUUUUGUUAACUCUAACUCUAGGUUCUCGUAAAUACUUUCUCCCGGAGAGCCCCUCAUUCCAGAUGAUUGCUUGGUGUACCAGAAGAUUCUGAAGAUACUCUCCGAUGUUUUCUUGAGACCCUUGUACCCUUCGCCGUUGCGAUCCCUACCACCGAUAAAUCCUUAUGCGUAACUACCUACGUGUCAUUCAUACCUUCAUCCCCAGUUGCCCUUGUUAUUACAAGAUGUCCUGAAAUACUCUCUGAUGUUCCGAGAAUCCUUUAUGCUUACUGCCCUGCAGUUCCUUGCCGCAUGAAUAACCCUAUGAAUAAUUCCUCACACUUUUCGAGGAUUUGUUCAUUCCUAGUUGAUCAAGUGAUUCACAAGAUACUUUGGAAUACUAUCCGAUCUUCCUAUAAUCCUCUCCAACUAUUGCUCGGCAAAUACUUGUCUGCUUGCAUUAUGGAUACUUUCCAGAUGUCUGGCAAUAUUCAGCAGUAUCCUUUAUCAUCUUUAUUCUGAACAUUUGAUUCGAUAUGCUUGUGAAUGCUUGCAAUCAUCAUUCACUGUUAGAAUUCUUCCCAUCGGCUCAGACGUCACCCCUGACAUGAGCUGGUGUUCGACAAAUCAAACCUUGAUUGAUUGUCGAUCUAUGUCUAUUCAACUUACCUGUCUUUGAUCAGAGCCUCUGCUUCUGAUCCACCAUUUUGGAAAUCAUAUUUACUUUGCAUUUGAGCUUUGAAUUAGUCAGUUAUUUCUAUAAUCUGAUAUCCUUGCAUUCUUUCUUUUCUGGUGGAGUACCGAUGCUCACAUCAUAUCCCUUGUGAACCACCAGAUCCUUUAUGGGGUUCUAUCCGACAGCGUCCUUCAUAUUCAGUAACCUUGUGAGCCUUUCCUCGGAUACAUAAUGCCUUUGGUAAAUUGUAUCUUCUGCUUUCUCAACCAUACUCUGCUUUCAGGCUUGAGUUAUUUACUCGUGAAGUUUAUGGUAUAUGUUACUAAGAUGACCCUGAUGGGUUGAACCUAUGCCUUUUCCCUAAUCUGUGUGAACCCGGAGACCUCUAUGGGUCAUACUCUACUGGUGUUAUGCCAGAUAAAAUCUUAACACUACAGCUUCAUCGAAAACGGGAACUGAAUGGAAGGUUGUGCAUUAGAGAAGUGGGAGUCGACCUUGAACCUUUGUGUUCAUGCCCAUGGACCCGAUGUGGAACUUAUCAUGGAAGCUUCUUGUUACAAUAAUAAUCCCCCUUUGAUAAAUUCAUCUUGUAUCUAUAUUUGGACCUUUGCAACCGUGGUUCAGACCAUGAUUGUUCUCCUUUGAUUCCAUUCUCGGACAAGUUAAAGUACUUGUCUUCUUCAGAUCGUUUCACCUGUCAAACUUGUACUUUGAUCUACCUUUGGGUAUUACCCUCUCGUAUCUCGAGAAUAUCACGGAACUACAUAACUUCCUAUGAGUUCUUCGUCAAUUAGUAUUUCUCACCGAUUCCAAGUUUCCACGCGCCCUGAGUUGUUAGACACUCGAGAACACCGAUAACUGAUUCGAGUCCACUUUCCUUUCCAUUGUUUUGUUUAACCUUUCUUGUAACCUAACUUAUCUGAGCAGUGAUAAUUCCUUGCUUAUGUAAACACCUCGGUGUACAUACUUUGUCAGUAAGACCUUGUUACUAUUGUUGAUGACAUUCCGGUAGCCACCGAUGGACGAGAACUUUGCCUAUUGGUGCGCCUCGUUUCAACGAGCAGGAAUAUGGUUCUCUUUGUCCCUCGCCCUUGGUACCAACGAUGCUGCCAACAUAACUGACAGGCUAUCCUCUGACCUGCCUUGCUAUCAUAACCGUGCAAAUGUUAGCAGCCUUCCUACUUCUAACCCACAUGGUGGGCCCAUAACCCACAGUUCCACAGGAUCGAAACCUGACUCUCCUUGUUUUCAAAGUUGUCCCUCGCGCUUGGCUUCGUAUGUAAUUCACGAGCCACCAUCCUUGUGAUCUGUUCUGGUAUCAGAUGAAAUACUUAUUCUCGAUGCUCUGAACCCCUUUCACACUCUGUUUCAGACAUUGAACGAUUGUCCAUCGGCUUGAAGCUUCUUAUUGCACCUUCUUACCUUGUUCUCGAUGACUUUCUUAAAUUUCAACUCGAGAGAUGCCUCUAUGCCACGUUCACUGACAUAGUCCCCACGUACCUAUCCUGUGUUGAGCUCCGUCCUUCUCGAGUCUUUCCCCUUACUCCACCUCUUAAAUCUCGAGACGAGAUUUCUUGUAGUGGAGGAGAUUUGUAACAACCCGAGAUUCAUGCUACAGUAAUCUCCCCUUAAUGGUGGCCAUGUCAUCAUGAUUACUAUGUAGCUUGCCACUUGUCCAAAAAUCAAGCCUUUUUCAAAUUUAAAAUAGGUCGAAUAAAUUAUUUCUUUGGGCAGUAAAACUAAAAUGUUCACCUUAUCCUAUAAAUUUCCCAUGAUCAUGGUCAUGUUGAAUCCAACAUUAUUUGACCCACCAAUUAAUUCCUAGGAAUUUAUGACGUGGGCCAACAACAAAUAAAAUGGUCUUUUCAAUUUAAACAAUUGUUUAAACUUUCCCAAAUAAAAUGAAACUUCGUGUGUAGCACCAAAAUAUUGUACUUGAGUUAUGUGUGGAGUACCAUGUAGAACUAAAAUCAUUUGUUGAUGACAAUAAAUAAAACAAGAGCUAUAGCAAUAAACAGAAAGGAAAGUAAUGAAACAAAAUACUCUACUGUGCACUAGGCCCAACCGUGGCCACAGUGCGGCCCAGCCCAGCACCACGACCUUUUCUUCGACCUCUCGGCAGGAGAGGCAGAGGAAGGCGUGGCGGCCAUCCAGGCCACCAUGGCUGUCGAUGUCGCCGUGUCGGCGAUCCCGCAGCCUCGUGGAUGGAUAAGAACGGUUCCGUCACCCCCUGGAGGAACCCUAGACUGCCCACAUCCGUCUCCCCAUUUUCCCUCGAUCUCCACCUCUCCCUCUCUGUCGUUCUGGAGGAAGGGCCGACGCGCCCUCCGCCAUCCACCACGCGCCACCGCGGCCAUCGACCUCCCCUCGACACUCCGCCCUGACCAGGAGCUCCGGGACGCUCCUCUGCUUCUUCUUUGCCAACUAGCACAAGCCGGGACGCCACAUCGACGCCGCCCUCCCCAAUCCCCUCCGCCGGCGUCCGCCCCUGCCUCGCCGUUGAUCUGCUGCCAUCCGCCGCUCGGUUUGCCCAUCGUCGACAAGCUCCGGCCACCCCGACGCCUCCACGAUCUUUGGUGUGAGCUCCCACAUCCGUUCCCCCUAUUUUUUUACCCUCAAAUUCGGCGCUGUUUGGCCGUCCCUUGCGUUCGCCGCCAUGGCAGGGAGCUCGGCUCCACACGCCCGUGCGCCCCCUGACCGCCCCUGCUCCUGCGUUACUCGUGCUCCGGCGUCACUCAGCACGCACGCGUGCCUAGCCGUGAUGCCCCCGCUUGUUACUGCUCUCUUGCGUCGGCUGCCGCUGAUGCUCUUCCGCUGCUACUGCUUUGAACUGCCGCUAUGCUGUUGCUACUGCUGCUUAUUGCUGCUGUAUCUGCUAGUUGCCGCGGCUGCUGCUCCGUGCUUAUGCCCCUAGUUGGUUGUUGCUGCUACUGCGGCCUGCUACCUCCGGCUGCGGCUUCUACUGGCCAUGGCCAAGGCCAUGGCCGUGGUGUGUGUGAGUGUGCUGUGUUUGUAUGCAGCGUGGUGUGUGUGAGUGUGCUGUGUGAGUGCACGUGUGUGUGAGUGGGUGUGUUGCCGGCCCAAACUAGUUUAGGUCUAGAUUAGUUCUAGGAUUAAUUCUGCUAUUUAGAUAGUAUCAGUUUAGUGCUAGAUUAGCCUAAUAGCUUAUGACCUGUGGCCCUCUGUUUUAAAUUAGUUUAGUUAAUUCUCUUUUUGCACAUGGGCAAAUGACAAAUGGGCCCCGCUUUGACCCUGUUGACUUUUCAACCCUGACUGGUCAACUAUUGACUUUAACCCUGGCCCCACUGUCAUACACAUGCCUAGCCCCUUAGUAGGUGUAAAAAGGAUUCUGCAAAUUUAGUAAUUAAACGAAUUAGAUAAAUAAAAGGAAUUUAGAAAAUGCUUAAAACUUUGGAAAAUCAUAGAAAUUAAACCGUAGCUCGGAUCCAAAAACUUCCCCCAUCAAUGUUGCUUAGAACAACGAGACGAAUCCGAAUACACAGUCCGUCCGUCCACCACACGCAUCUAGCACAGCAAACCUGCAACCGCCCCCCUCCGGUUCUUUUGUCCGAAAAUGCCAAACUUUGGGGAAACAUUCCAGGAUGCUCCCCCCCUUGGCCGGUAUCGUGUAGCACCGCGUUAGAACACACCUAACACCGCGUAUCGUCAUAUCAUGCUUAGUGCUGCAACUGUAUGCUUGUAUUUACAUUUUCUUCCCCCUCUUCUCUCCGGUAGACCCCGAGACUGCCGCUGAUGCCGCUGUGAUCGACUACGUCGACGACGACCCCUUCUUCUUGUCUGAGCAACCAGGCAAGCCCCCCCUUUGAUCAUCCCGAUAUCGCCCAUUCCAUUCUCUCAUGCUUGCAUUAGAUUUUGCUACUGUUAUUUGAUUGCUCCUAUUCUGAUGCAUAGCCUGCUUUUGUGGCUGCUAUUGUACCUUACCUGCUUAUCCUAAACUGCUUAGUAUAGGUUGGUUAGUGAUCCAUCAGUGACCCCCACUUGUCCUUGUUGCCCCUGCUUCAUCAUCGAUGACUCGAUCUACGUGAUCGACGACCAGAGCCCGACACCUCACAUCACAUCACGCCCCUUUUGUUGCUCGACUCUGCGGAGCUACUAUCGAGUGCCGAGGGUGAUCCCUCAUAACGCACUCCUGAUGUUAAUUCUGUAGUGUAGCUAUUCGGUCGUGGUCAUCGAGGGUCAUUUCCUCUUUCACCAUUCCCAAUACGGCUCUGUCGUUCAACACCUCAAGUGUGGACCUCGAGGGUGGUCCCUCUUACGUUCACCUUGAUGAUUACAUUGAGUGGAAUCCUCCGGGGGGUGAUUCCUCGUGUUUUGCCCUUGAUGUUUGGACACACGGUUACCUUGACAUUACUGGAGACCUUUGAGAAAGUCGGGCGGGCCCGGAGAGCACCCGCAAGAUGGUUACGAGGCACGGCCGGGAAGUCAGACAGCCCUCGAGUGGGUUGGGCUUGCCCUUGCCGUAUUUCCUCGAGACGGGGCGACGGGGUCACAUUAUCAUGAGUCUCUUCUCGUCUCCGCGAGCCCCCAAUGCACUAACAGGUUUGGGUAUUUGUUCUGAGUUGGCCUUUGGCCUUUACGCACUAACCACCACGCGAGAAUAGAUAUGGCCCUCGACGUCGUGGUAUCAGCCGAAGCUUUGUCAGAUGUCCAGUUCAGCAUUGUGGCACGGUCGGAUCGUGCGAUCCACUACAUGGGUGGUGCUGGUAUCCACCCUGCACACAACGACCCGGAGUGCAACGGGCGAUGGGCCCAGACCCUGGAGUGCUUAGGACGUAGACCGGCGGGGACCUCUCUGCUGAGCCUAGGUAGGGUUGCGACGUGUUGAUCUUCCGAGACCGGGCAUUGACCCCAGAAAGGUGUGUCUGGCCAGAGUGAUCGAGCAUGUUGGGUAACGUGGUGCACCCCUGCAGGGAAGAUAUAUAUUCGAACACCGUGUCCACGGUAAUGGAUGUUCAGACCUGUAUCCUGAUCUUAUACAACUAGAAAUGGAUACUUGAUAUGUGAUGGAUAUGUGGCCCCGGGAUUUCUUUCUCGUAGGGAGUCGAGGAAGGAUGUCUGGGCGUUGAUACUACAACAUGUUUGUUAAAUAUAAACUGCUAUUCUUUACUCUUCUACAUGCUGCCAAAUGCUUGGAGCUGCUUGAAGAUGCUAGUCUUCGAUAGGCUAGGCCUUCCCCUCUAUUCUGGCAUUCUGCAGUUCAGUCCACAGAUACAGCCCUUCCAUUUGAUACCAAUGCAUACUUAGCAUAGAUCUGAUGCUUGCGGGUACUUUGGAUGAGUACUCACGGUUGCUUUGCUACCCCUUUUCCCCCUUCCUUCUUUCCGGUUGAUGCAACCAGAUGGUGGACCCCUUAAGCCAGAAGCCACCGCUGACGGAUACUACUACGUGGAGACCGCCGACGACCAGGAGUAGUUAGGAGGUCCCAGGCAGGAGGCCUUGCCUCUUCGAUCGUUGAUGUUUGUGCUAGCCUUUUAAGGAAUCCUUGUCUAACUUAUGUCUGUACUCAAAUAUUGUUGCUUCCGCUGACUCUUGUGUAUCGAGCUUGUAUUCGAGCCCUCGAGGCCCCUGGCUUGUAAUAUGAAGCUUGUAUUAUUUUGAUUUGUGUCUACAGUUGUAUUGUGAUAUCUUCCCGUGAGUCCCUGAUCUUGAU